GAAGAAGGAGACUUGAAGCUGGUUAGCUUUGUGUAUGAGGAAGUUGUUUGAGACCCAUAGCUGUGGACAGAAGUUCAACAAGAGGCCAACAUUUUGCUGUGCUUGAGUGGAAAAACCCAGGUCAACUCAACCUGAUUGCAUUACACGUGCCUUUCUAGAAGGUUCUAUCAUCAGACGCUUGGCAACUCGUUCUGCACCCUGUGAACUGGUGCUUCUAAACUUGUGGAAAACAGUUUGGCGGUAUUAGGAAGUAUUAACAAUAUAAUUAAAUAUGUAUGUGCAAAUCAUUCAAGUAUGGAGCUUGCCUCAUGGGACUCUUGAGGAUGGAAGCACUACAGGAUAGAGGGGAAACAGGAAACACUGUACUGAUACAUGCCAGUGCCUGAGUGGUUUCCACCAGGAUGAUAGUUGGGCAGAUGGAUAUCACAUAUCCUCUGAACACAGAGAGACAUAGCUGUCCCGAGAUUUUCCUGGGAAGCUGUGAGAAAGCUCAGAGGAUGAAUUAAAACGUUAUCUCUUUUUCUGUAACUGUUGUUUAUAGACAUGAUUCUCCAGAAUGUGCUAUUUAUAGUUUACCAAUAGUGUGAGAGAAAAUUCCUAAAGACCAAUGAGGUCUUAGAUCCCCCACUGUUUCUAUAAGAACUGUGCAUUUCUAAUAAUAAUGUGCUUCUCAUGCCUUCCGAUGAUGGAGUCACUGUAUCACCUUUGUCUGUCCC